AUGGACCACGACUUCUCGCGUGGGGGCGGGUUGCCCAGUUUCGAGUUCGCGUUUAAUUCAGAGAACUUCUCCGACCGGGUGCUGCGGCUGGAGGUCGUCGCCAGCGACGGCGUCGCCGGAGGAUCCCUCCCCGACUUGGUGUUCCACCGCGAGAUGUGAUGGACAGAUGAGCAAAGUAUUGACUCUUCCUGGACCAUGGUAGCCACGCCAGUUUUACGAGUAAAGACCAUUUACGUCAGUUCGGUGGUUCUCGCUGCAAAUAGUCCAUUCUUUCUUAAGCUUUUCUCAAACGGUAUGAAAGAGUCUGAUCAGAGGCAUCUAACACUCCGAAUUGCUGAUUCAGAGGAAACUGUCAUGAUGGAGCUUUUGUUAUCAUUUAUGUACACUGGAAAGUUGACACCAACUGAACCCAAUCUUCUGCUCGACAUCUUGAUGGCCGCCGAUAAAUUUGAGGUUCUUGCUUGCAUGAGGCGUUGCUGCCAGUUGCUCACAAACUUGCCUAUGACACCAACUGAACCCAAUCUUCUGCUCUACCUAGAUUACCCAUGCUCCAGUUCAGUGGCUGCUGAAAUUCGACAUCUGACAGAUGCAGCCAAGGAAUUCCUCGCCAACAAAUACAAGGUUUUGGAUAAAUUCCCUCAUGAAUUGGUGGACAUGCCUCUUGUUGGAAUUGAAGCCAUCUUUUCUAGUUCUGACCUACAGAUAUCAUCUGAAGAUGCCGUAUAUACCUUCUUGCUCGAGUGGGUGUGCGAGCAAUACGUAGAAACAGAGGACAGACACAAGAUAUGGAGUUCUCGUUUACUUCCGCUGUUGCGCUUCAAUCAUAUGAGCUGGAAGAAACUCCACGAGGUCCUGACAUGCAGUGAUGAAGAUGAUGUAGACAAUGAGCAAACAAAGAAGCUUAUUACUGAUGUACUCUUGCACAAAGCUUACCCAGCACAUGAGCAAGGCACUAUUGAGGCAGACACAACAACCUGUUGCAAAGUUCCACAGCGAGCCUACAUGAGGAAACCCCUGAAAGUGGUUGAGUUCGAUCGACCCCGUCCACAGGUUAUUGUGUACUUGGAUCUAACGCGUGAGGAGUGCUCCCGACUCUUCCCAGAAGGAGUAUUAGUCUCGCAAUUGUUCCAUCUUGCAGGGCAGAACUUCUAUACCCAGCCAACCUGUGUACUUUGGCGAAGUUAG
rnacentral:rRNA from 1 species